GGGCCUGUAGCUCAGCUGGUUAGAGCGCACGCCUGAUAAGCGUGAGGUCGGUGGUUCGAGUCCACCCAGGCCCACCA
rnacentral:tRNA from 3 species